CUAAUACAUGCAAGUCGAACGCUGAAACACUCUGCUUGCAGAGUGUGGAUGAGUGGCGAACGGGUGAGUAACACGUGGGGAAUCUGCCUAUAAGUGGGGGAUAACAUUCGGAAACGGAUGCUAAUACCGCAUAUAUUCAAAAACCGCAUGGUUUCUGAAAGAAAGACGGCUUUGCUGUCGCUUAUAGAUGAUCCCGCGGCGUAUUAGUUAGUUGGUGGGGUAAUGGACUACCAAGACCAUGAUACGUAGCCGACCUGAGAGGGUGAUCGGCCACACUGGGACUGAGACACGGCCCAGACUCCUACGGGAGGCAGCAGUAGGGAAUCUUCCACAAUGGGUGCAAACCUGAUGGAGCAAUGCCGCGUGAAUGAAGAAGGUCUUCGGAUCGUAAAGUUCUGUUAUUAGAGAAGAACAAGUCAAGGAGUAACUGUCUUGACUUUGACGGUACCUAACCAGAAAGUCACGGCUAACUACGUGCCAGCAGCCGCGGUAAUACGUAGGUGGCAAGCGUUAUCCGGAAUUAUUGGGCGUAAAGGGAGCGCAGGUGGUUGGAAUAGUCUGAUGUGAAAGCCCACGGCUUAACCGUGGAAGGUCAUUGGAAACUGUCCAACUUGAAUGCAGAAGAGGUAAGUGGAAUUCCAUGUGUAGCGGUGAAAUGCGCAGAGAUAUGGAGGAACACCAGUGGCGAAGGCGGC
rnacentral:rRNA from 1 species